rnacentral:rRNA from 1 species
CCUACGGGUGGCAGCAGUGAGGAAUAUUGGUCAAUGGACGAGAGUCUGAACCAGCCAAGUAGCGUGCAGGAUGACUGCCCUAUGGGUUGUAAACUUCUUUUAUAUGGGAAUAACAUGUUCCACGUGUGGGGUUUUGUAUGUACCAUAUGAAUAAGGAUCGGCUAACUCCGUGCCAGCAGCCGCGGUAAUACGGCGGAUCCGAGCGUUAUCCGGAUUUAUUGGGUUUAAAGGGAGCGUAGGGGGAUUGUUAAGUCAGUUGUGAAAUGUUGCGGCUCAACCGGAGAAUUGCAGUUGAAACUGGCAGUCUUGAGUACAGGAGAGGUGGGCGGAAUUCGUGGUGUAGCGGUGAAAUGCUUAGAUAUCACGAAGAACCCCGAUUGCGAAGGCAGCUCACUGGACGGCAACUGACACUGAGGCUCGAAAGCGUGGGUAUCAAACAGGAUUAGAUACCCGAGUAGUC